AUGAAGCACUAGACAUUUUCAAGGACUGGAACAAGGAUUGGAAUCCCCUCUAUUGGGUUACUGAUUUCUCGGAUUCAGAGAUAAAUGCAAUUGAGCAAGCAUUCCCUCAGACAAAAGUUUACUUGUGCCUUUUCCAUCGAAAACAGGCAUGGGGAAGAUGGUUGAAAAAAAAAGGAUAAUCUAAGUGUACCAAAUGACGUGAAGACAUUUCUGGAUAUGUGGCAAGAAAUUUCAGAAUCACCAACAGAGAGAGAAUUUAGAGAUCGCGUAGAAGAGUUGCGAACGCAUGAGGUUUCUCGGAGAAACGAGCGUGCAUGGCCAUACUUUCAACAGCAAUGGCUAACGGUAUGUGAAAGAUGGGUGAAAGCGUAUGAGGACAAGGGCAGAUUUGCAACUAUUGACACUACAAAUGGAGUUGAAGCCAUGAACAAGAUUGUAAAACAUUUUUUUUCCUAAAACACAAUUCAGACAGGACUUUAACUGGGGUUACUAAGGUUAUAAUAAACCAGUUUCUUCCAAGCCUAAUUAGAAAGUACUGUCUGCAGAAUUCCGCCAUCAAAGCUUAUAACAAAGAUGUUCCACUGUUUUUGCAUAAAAAAACAAACAAGUUUGUGAAACAUGUCAUGCAGCGAUAUGCAUCAGCAAAAGUUGAGUUAACUGCAAGAUCAGUGAGUAGGAGAUCGGAUGGUUCAUUUUGUGUGGAGAGUGCAAAGUCCAAAAACUGUAAUUAUGUUGUAAACUUUGAUAUACCAGAUUGCACAUGUGAAGAUUUUUGGAGAUAUAAAUACCCAUGCAAGCAUUUCUGUGCAAUCUUUAUUUUUUACCCAGAGUGGGGUUUUGAUAAAAUGCCAGAAAGUUAUAUGACUAGUCCAUUAAUCUGUCUUGAUGAAAUGUAUGGGGUGGGCUUUAGAAGUGGCUCUUCAGUAAUUUCAUAUGAAGGCAGUAGUAGUGACGAAGCUGUUGAGGAGGCAGUUGAAGCAGCUGAGGAGGCUGUCGAGGUUGAGGAGGCUGUCGAGGCAGCAAAUACAGAUGGUGUUGUUCAAACCCAGAAUAUUCCUUUGCAGCAGUUUGAAGCAAGGGAGCUGUGUAACAGAUUUACAAUCUCACAUACAACUGCAGCAACAGCGAAACAUUACAAAAAGUACUUGAAUCACUGAGCAACUGUGUGCAAGAUUUGCAUUUAGCAAAUCCUGAAGUUGGUGGUCUCCCAUUGGCAGUGCCAUCAACUUCCAAACAAUAGCGAAGAACGAUGCCAAAAGCCUUACAAGAUCUGUCUUAAACACAUUAUAACUUCCCAUUUGAAGGGUAAGAAAUGAUGGUUUAUUUGAAUUUUAGAUAGCUCUUUGUCUAUGUAAAAUACAAAUAAGCUCCGUCAUUUCUGAUCCUCGAGAUGGAAUGCUGUGAGGUCUUUAUGUUGGUCUCUGCUUUUAAACUUUGUUGCACAUUUGAAUUUCGAAGUAGCAGUAGAUAAAAUAUUAUAAAAAGGAUAGUUGCUACAUUUGUGUGUGUGUGUGUGUGUGUGUGUGUUUGUGAGUGAGUGAGUGUGCGCGCGCGCUUUUGAAAAGGCCCUUGUUGCCUGAAAGAUAAGUCCGACAGUCUUUUUGUUGUGCCUUUCUGUGAUUCAGCAUCUUCACCAUUUGGUGGGCAGCAACAACUAUCCUUUUCAUAACAUUGUUACAUUCCAUCCUGGAUUUUUCGUUGUUCAUCAGAGAAAAGAUUUUUCUGAGGAAUUAAACUAGAUGGUAGUGUAGAACUUGCAAACUUUUUAAAAUAUGAAGUAAAAGAUUUUGACUUUAAAUUAGGUUAAUUCAAAUAUGAGACAAUGUUGAGAAUUGAAAAGGUGGAAAAAAUAAAUAAGAUAUAUCUUAGUGGCAUUGAGAUGUCGUAUGACUGAUGGAGGAAAGAUUUUGCAUUUCUUUUUCCAAGUAAGAAUGCACUUGCUCUCACUUGCUUCAAUACAUGUCUAGUGAUUCACGUGAAACAGAGAAAAAGAUAGACUGCCCUGUUAAUGAACAUGAGAUUGCCCAGUAUCACUCUGACAGAAGAGUAUGGUGUUUCCUUGAUAUGGUAUCUGGUCAGCAAUGUCAUUGGGACCAAAUGAAAGUUACUGCAGAUACCACACAGAAGCAAUUACUGUUACUGGAAUACCAGUAAUGUUUAUUAAAUUCAGUUGUAAAGUAGUUCUGGGCAUUGCAGCUGGUGAGCAAUGUCAUUGGGCACCAAAAGAAGUUCAGUUAUGAUGGAUUUCUGGCCUUCAGUCCAUGGGAAAAUUCACACCAGAUUGCAUCAAGACUGUUAUAUUCCAAGGAUAUCUUGGAAGAUUGAUAGUAUUCCUGAACGAAAACAAUCCAUAUAGUAUUUCACGUGUGUAUCAAACUGCCAUUUGUUGUGGCACGUAAAUGUUUGCAACUUGAUUGUAAUUUUUGAACAGUUUCUCAACAAUCCAAGAAUUUCUUGUAAUGAGAAGUAGACAUUGUUGCUUGGGUAAAGGAAAUACAAAUCACGGUCAAUAUAACUACCUUAUUAACUUUCCACAGAGAAAUAUUUUUCACUACUGCUACUUAAAAAUUCAAAUGUGUGACAAAGUUUGCUUACAGAACUUGGCAUAAAGAUCUCCCUUAUUUGUAUUUUUUAGGUAGCUCUUAUUGUUUGAUCCUUCAAAUGGAAUGCUGUGACCUCCAUGUGAUCUAUUCCUUAGUAGUUAAUUAUCCAUUAAGGCACAAAUAUAUGAACAUUACAAUGAGAGGGGUCUUUAUGCCAGGCCCUGUAAAAGUAAUGGCAUCUUACUUAAUAUUAUUGUUGGGAAUUUGAUGGCACAGCUGUGGGGAGACCACAAAUUUCAGGGUUUGCUAACUGCAAAUCUGGCACACAGUUGCUGAGUGAUUCAAGUACUUUUCAUAAUGUUUCACUGUUGAUACAGUUGUAUGUGAGAUUAUAAACCUGUUUGAACAACACCUUCACUUCAAAUUGCUGCAAAGAAAUGGUUACGGUAUCAGUGUGAUGCUCUAUAUGUGUUUCCUCAACUGUGUCCUCAUUGCUACUGUCUUCAUGUGAAAUUACUGCAGACACACUUCUGAAACCAAACCUGUACAUCUUGUGAAGACAGAUUAAUGGGCUAUUCCUGCAGCUUUCUGGUAUUUUAUCAAAACCCCACUCUGGAUAGAAAAUAAAGAUUGCACAGAAAUGCUUGCAUGGGUAUUUAUAUAUCUCAAAAUCUUCACAUGCGCAGUUUGGUAGAGCAAAGCUUACAACAUAAUUAGUCUUUGAACAUUGUACUCUCCAUACAAAACAUUGUCCAAGUUCACAUUCACUUAUCUUGCAGUUAAUUCAACUUUCCCUGGUGCAUAUCACUGCAUGACAUGUUUCACA